rnacentral:tRNA from 1 species
GCUCAUUGGUAGAGCGCUUGCCUAGAAAGCAUGAGGUCCUGGGUUCAUUCCUAG